rnacentral:misc_RNA from 1 species
AAUUCUCAACCUUUUCAGCUUUUUCUGUUGAUCAGGCUUGGAUGUGGGAGUAUGCGGGCUUCUCAUCUCAGAGGUCGGCUCUCCUGAAAUGCAUUAGCGGGACCUUUGUUGCCUGGCUUUGGUGUGAUAAAUUAUUUACGCCAUCGUGAAGAGCAGCUUUAUAAACGGGGUUCAGCUUCUAAAUGGUCUCCUUUAAGACCAACUUCUGACA